UGGGGGAUAGUUUAGCGGUAGAACCUCCGACUCUGACUCGGAUGGCCUUGGUUCGAAUCCAGGUCCCCCAGCCA
rnacentral:tRNA from 1 species